UCUACACAAAUCAACUUAAAGUAAUUAACUACGAAGGGUAUUAAUCUGCAAGGAUCAUUGCUCUUCCAACAUGGCCUUGCACUAUACUCAAUGGAUUGUUCUUUCGUUUGUUUUAGCUUUUUGUUUAGUACAAUCAACACAUUCAGUUGUACCUAGAGAAAAAGUCGCUCAGGAUUCAGCUCAAAAUCCAUGGGGCCCUUGUGGUCGGCAUGCAUGUGGGAAAAGAAACCACGAGCCUAAUUCUGAAAAAGAAUCAGCUGAAAAUGUAUUUAAGAAGGGAGCCACUGUUGUUGGAACAACCGAUAAAAAGGUUUCUAGAUUAAACGUGAUCUCUCUUAAACACCGAUGUGGUCGAUUUGGACUAUGUAGAAAAAGAAAUUUUCUUCCUGCUCUGCCCAAAGGGAAAAAAAUGCUCGAUGAUCAAUUACACCCAGAUGAACAACACCCAAAGACAGCGGAUCAAUCCAAGCACGAAAUUGCUGAGCCAAAAUCAAGGUGCCUUCCAUUUGGAUGCAAGAAAUCCUUCGAUCAAACUGUAAUGAGGAACCAACAAAAGAAACCAUUUUCGGAUGGAAUGAAAGAUAUGCAGUGUGGUACCAUAUUUGGCUGCUAUGUAAAGAAGAACGCUUCUCCAGUACAAGGAAAACACAUUAGGCAAGAAAUGAAAGCGGAAAACAGAAAAAGUCUCAAUAACGAUCUAUUGAUCCAUAGAAGAUUUUUUCGAAAAAGCCAGGGUGAAAAUUAAAGACUCAAAAAUUGAAUUAGACAAUAAAGGUAGAAAGCAGUAGAAUCGACUUAAAGGAAACCUUACCAACGACAGCGGACAGUCAGAACACUUGAAUUAGUUCCAAAGAAAUAUUUUUAGGAACAGCUACUUUCUUUCCUAUAGAUUUAAACGUGAUGUCUGCAUCUUGAUGUAAAAACCUGACCUCAAUUAUUUUCUAAGAGCAAUACAUAUCAAGAAGGAGCUGCAUCUUCAAAGGGGAUUAAUCGCAGCCAUUCUAGAAUAAAAACUUGUAAAACGGACACCAAAGCAAUUAAUAAACUAUUGGAUUUGUAAACAGA